CUGUCAGAGAUCAGCUGUUCUUCUCUGGCUUCAGCUCUGAGGUCAAACCCCUCUCAUCUGAGAGAACUGGAUCUGAGUAACAACGAGCUGCAGGACUCAGGAGUGAAGGAGCUGUGUGGUYUUCUACAGAGUCCAACCUGUCCACUGGAGACUCUGAGGUUGGAGUACUGCAGACUGUCAGAGAUCAGCUGUUCUUCUCUGGCUUCAGCUCUGAGGUCAAACCCCUCUCAUCUGA